CUGAGGAAGUGGAGUGUCCCUGGCUGCCUUGCUGAGGCUGGUCUAUGUGCCCCUGGGGCCCUUUAGGCCGGGACGUUUUGACUCCAUUCCUCCUAAAAAGAACCAGCCCAAACCUCCCGGAUUGAAGUCUCCAAUGAUUCAUUCAACAAACUGUGACAGAAACAAUUUACUUCAGAGAAACCUUGCUCCCUGGAGAAUCUGUCGCUCUGUGUCAUCCUCAGGGACAAGAAAACAAGAACAAACCAGCAUGAAUGUGGGCAAAGAGGUGACAUGGGUGCCUCCCACAGAUCCUACCUCAAACCCUGACAACAUCCUCUGCUGAAGAUCCCACCCUCAGCUCUCAGUCCACCAUGACACUCUCCUACCUUGAAUGUGAACAACACCACGUCAUAGACUGGGGUUCAGAGCUAAUAAAGAGCCCUGGCUCGCACCUCUCUCUCUCUUUCCUGCGCGGCCAGCUGCCUCAAGCUCCUGCCACCAUGGUGGCCUUCAUCCUCCAACUGUGAGCCAAAGAGGUGAGAGAAGCGACUAUACAACCAGUCUCCUGUGAAGAGCUGGGUGGGGCAGAGGACCACAGGAGCUUCCAAAGCCCUGGGCAGAACACAACUGUGCUACACAGUGGCCCGAUGCUCACCGAUGACCUGCUCACUGGCACACGGUGUGUUCCUGGUCCCCUCUUAGAUCUCCUUUCCUGCUCUACUUUCUCUCACGGCCCCAAAGAUGACAUCCUGUGUCCCUGCCCCGAUAG
ensembl:lincRNA Gm26747 predicted gene, 26747